rnacentral:rRNA from 1 species
GCGGUGGAGCAUGUGGUUUAAUUCGAAGCAACGCGAAGAACCUUACCAGGUCUUGACAUCCCUGACAACCCAAGAGAGUUGGGCGUUCCCCUUCGGGGGACAGGGUGACAGGUGGUGCAUGGUUGUCGUCAGCUCGUGUCGUGAGAUGUUGGGUUAAGUCCCGCAACGAGCGCAACCCUUGUCAUUAGUUGCCAUCAUUUAGUUGGGCACUCUAAUGAGACUGCCGGUGACAAACCGGAGGAAGGUGGGGAUGACGUCAAGUCCUCAUGGCCCUUAUGGGUAGGGCUUCACACGUCAUACAAUGGUCGGUACAGAGGGUUGCCAAGCCGCGAGGUGGAGCCAAUCCCUUAAAGCCGAUCGUAGUCCGGAUCGUAGUCUGCAACUCGACUACGUGAAGUCGGAAUCGCUAGUAAUCGCAGAUCAGCAUGCUGCGGUGGAUACGUUCCCGGGUCUU